rnacentral:rRNA from 1 species
UACGUAGGGUGCGAGCGUUAAUCGGAAUUACUGGGCGUAAAGCGUGCGCAGGCGGUCUGUUAAGACCGAUGUGAAAUCCCCGGGCUUAACCUGGGAACUGCAUUGGUGACUGGCAGGCUUUGAGCGUGGCAGAGGGAGGUAGAAUUCCACGUGUAGCAGUGAAAUGCGUAGAGAUGUGGAGGAAUACCGAUGGCGAAGGCAGCCUCCUGGGCCAACACUGACGCUCAUGCACGAAAGCGUGGGGAGCAAACAGG